rnacentral:rRNA from 1 species
CGCCUGGGGAGUACGGGUGAGGUAACGGCUCACCAAGGCAUCGACGGGUAGCUGGUCUGAGAGGAUGAUCAGCCACACUGGGACUGAGACACGGCCCAGACUCCUACGGGAGGCAGCAGUAGGGAAUAUUGCACAAUGGGCGAAAGCCUGAUGCAGCAACGCCGCGUGCGGGAAGAAGGCCCUAGGGUUGUAAACCGCUUUCAGCAGGGAAGAAAAUGACGGUACCUGCAGAAGAAGGUGCGGCCAAUUACGUGCCAGCAGCCGCGGUGACACGUAGGCACCAAGCGUUGUCCGGAUUUAUUGGGCGUAAAGAGCUCGUAGGCGGUUCAGUUAGUCGGGUGUGAAAACUCUGGGCUCAACCCAGAGACGCCACUCGAUACUGCUGUGACUAGAGUGCGGUAGGGGAGCGGGGAAUUCCUAGUGUAGCGGUGAAAUGCGCAGAUAUUAGGAGGAACACCAGUGGCGAAGGCGCCGCUCUGGGCCGUAACUGACGCUGAGGAGCGAAAGCGUGGGCAGCAAACAGGAUUAGAUACCCUGGUAGUCCACGCCGUAAACGUUGGGCACUAGGUGUGGGUCUCAACCAACGAGAUCCGCGCCGUCGCUAACGCAUUAAGUGCCCCGCCUGGGGAGUACGG